rnacentral:rRNA from 1 species
UGGGGAAUAUUGGACAAUGGGCGCAAGCCUGAUCCAGCAAUGCCGCGUGUGUGAAGAAGGUCUUCGGAUUGUAAAGCACUUUCGACGGGGACGAUGAUGACGGUACCCGUAGAAGAAGCCCCGGCUAACUUCGUGCCAGCAGCCGCGGUAAUACGAAGGGGGCUAGCGUUGCUCGGAAUGACUGGGCGUAAAGGGCGCGUAGGCGGAAUGUACAGUCAGACGUGAAAUUCCCGGGCUCAACCUGGGGGCUGCGUUUGAUACGUAUGUUCUUGAGUGUGAAAGAGGGUCGUGGAAUUCCCAGUGUAGAGGUGAAAUUCGUAGAUAUUGGGAAGAACACCGGUGGCGAAGGCGGCGACCUGGUUCAUUACUGACGCUGAGGCGCGAAAGCGUGGGGAGCAAACA